rnacentral:lncRNA from 1 species
CUCCUGGCUCCACAAUUCUUUUUUUUUUCCUUCCUUAGCACCUAUCCUGAGAAGGAACGUGGAAUGCUGGGAGAGAGAGUCCUCGGGGUGAGAAUUCCAAUUGCACACUAUCUUUCUACAAUCUUUCCAACAUUCACUGUUUCCAUAUUUUAUCGUCUUUGACAGUUUGCUGGGAGUGAGGACAAGAUCUUCCUGAUUGAUCUCUCCCUUAAAAGAGGAUUGCAGUCCCCCUUCAGAUGUGCUGCUGAGCUUGAAAAAUGCAAAGCACAAUUUUGACAACAUUCUUUAGAAGGAACUGAGUAGCAGACUCCAAUGACUUUUGAGAAAAUUGAAGUGUGGACUUUGAUGUCUUUGGAAGAGAGAAUAAGGAUGACAACUUUGUGCAACUCUGCCUCACAAAUCCAAGUUAUGAUACCACCCCUUGAUCGGUCUUCUUCAAAAAUGAAAGGAAGACAAUUCUAAACGUUAUCCGAGCUCAUUUAAUGACAAGGACAGAGAGGUGUUCUCUCUCACUCAGGAAUGUUAUGAGGAGAUAAAAGUGGAAAUGGGAUGACAAAGUAAAUGAGCUAGAAAAUAAAACCAUUGGACAAUUAAAAUUCA